GUCUCCAUGCUCAACCUCUCCCGAUCUCUUUCUCUUCCUAUUCUUUUAUGUUACCAAAUUAAAAGCAAGAAAAGCUAUAAUUUUAGUAUUAAGGUGACCAUAAUUUUAAAUGUACAUAUCUAAUUUCUAUUCUAUCUAAAUUGUUCCUGUAUUUAUAAUUAAAUUGACAAUUUUAGAUCCAAUGUUUUGCUAUACAUAAGUAAUAUGUCAUUGUGGUCUUCUUAACGUCUGGUAUUCUCGGAGGCAUUCGGAUGGGCGAUUUCUGGUGAUCUUCAAUGGUGACUCCGGCACCGCCGGGAGGGUGGAAUUUCUCUCCCGGGGAUGCAAUCUGCGAUGAAGCUUGGCAUUGUUUCCGACCGCCGGUUCAUUUCUCCUCUAAGUUCAGCUCGGUUCCUUUCCGGUUAGUGGUGGAUCUACCUCGCUCAAAUUUUCGUUUAACAACUUCUUCGGUGGCCUUAGCCCUCAGGGCUGUGAUUGGUGGUUCGCCUGCUGAUCUCUCUGUUUCCCUUCUCAAAGAUCGUUCUUUCUCUUUUUUUUGUCUGCUCCAAACAAGUGGGUUUAUGGAUUUAUCGUUUGAGAUCUUAUACUUGCAAUGAUUUUGUUCUGCGCUUCUUUCUUUGGAGAAAUGGUGGACCAAAUUGGUAGUGGGAACUUGAUGUUUAGAGUCGUGAACAAGAGAAAGAAUGGGUUUUUGUGGCUCCUAAGAAACGUGUUUCUGAUUCUUUGAGGCAACCUGGUCGUUCUUAUGCUCAAGCUACUCAGCAGCGGGUUAUUCCUAUGAAGAGUGUUUUUGAUAGAUUAAAGGAGUCCUUGAAGGUGACUGGCGGUGAUACUCCGGCAAUCACUGUUCCGGUGACCAAAGUUCCGGAGACUAAGCUGGUGGCUAAUCCCAAAAUUCAAAAUGUUAGAGGAGGCAGAGUGCAAGGUUGCAGCAGAAUAAGGAGGAAGCAGAACUGCAAGUGGAUCCCAGAAUGGACAUUGGCAAGCCAAGGGGUAAAUCUGCAAAGAAAUUGAAAGAGCUUGCAGGCUUGCAGAUGGGAGUGGACAUGUGCGGCUUAACUCCUGAGGAGGAAGUUGAAUCCAGCAUGGGGAGUGAGAGAAGAAAGAAGAUGCCCAGGCCUGACAUGGAGGAAAAAUGAUUUUAGUUUUCAGAUGUGUUUUAGUAGACCUGUACUUCCCUUUUAAUUAUCAUGUAAGGGUCUGUAUUUGGAACUUCCCUUUUAAUUAUCAUGUAAGGGUCUGUAUUUGGACAAGAGCUUUUCAGACUUUGUCAUAUUUUGGUUCAGUUGUAUGCACUAUAAGGUUAUGUUAU